rnacentral:rRNA from 1 species
AACGAACGCUGGCGGCAUGCCUAACACAUGCAAGUCGAACGAGACCUUCGGGUCUAGUGGCGCACGGGUGCGUAACGCGUGGGAACCUGCCCUUAGGUUCGGAAUAACUCCCCGAAAGGGGUGCUAAUACCGGAUAAUGUCUUCGGACCAAAGAUUUAUCGCCUUUGGAUGGGCCCGCGUUGGUUUGGCUAGUUGGUAGGGUAAAAGGCUACCAAGGCGACGAUCCAUAGCUGGUCUGAGAGGAUGAUCAGCCACACUGGGACUGAGACACGGCCCAGACUCCUACGGGAGGCAGCAGUGGGGAAUAUUGGACAAUGGGCGAAAGGCUGAUCCAGCAAUGCCGCGUGAGUGAUGAAGGCCUUAGGGUUGUAAAGCUCUUUUACCCGGGAUGAUAAUGACAGUACCGGGAGAAUAAGCUCCGGCUAACUCCGUG